rnacentral:rRNA from 1 species
UCGUGUCGUGAGAUGUUGGGUUAAGUCCCGCAACGAGCGCAACCCUCACCUCUUGUUGCCAACAGGUCAUGCUGGGCACUCUAGAGGAACUGCCCCGGUCAACGGGGAGGAAGGCGGGGAUGACGUCAAGUCAUCAUGCCCCUUACGUCCUGAGCUACACACGUGCUACAAUGGCCGGUACAAAGGGAUGCCACACCGCGAGGUAGAGCUAAACCCAAAAAGCCGGUCUAAGUUCAGAUUGGAGUCUGCAACUCGACUCUAUGAAGGAGGAAUCGCUAGUAAUCGC